rnacentral:rRNA from 1 species
GACGAACGCUGGCGGCGUGCUUAACACAUGCAAGUCGAGCGGUAAGGCCCUUUCGGGGGUACGACGAGCGGCGAACGGGUGAGUAACACGUGGGUGACCUGCCCUCAGCUCUGGGAUAAGCCUGGGAAACCGGGUCUAAUACUGGAUAUGACUCCAUGACGCAUGUUGUGGGGUGGAAAGCCUUGUGCGGCUGAGGAUGGGCCCGCGGCCUAUCAGCUUGUUGGUGGGGUGAGGCCUACCAGGGCGACGACGGGUAGCCGGCCUGAGAGGGCGACCGGCCACACUGGGACUGAGACACGGCCCAGACUCCUACGGGAGGCAGCAGUGGGGAAUCUUGCGCAAUGGGCGAAAGCCUGACGCAGCGACGCCGCGUGAGGGAUGACGGCCU